rfam:Loxodonta africana unplaced genomic scaffold scaffold_124, whole genome shotgun sequence.
ACAGUGGUGGUUCAGUGGUAGAAUUCUCACCUUCCAUGCGGAAGACCUGGGUUCAAUCCCCAUCCAAUGCA